rnacentral:rRNA from 1 species
UACGGCCAUAUCACGCUGAAACACCGGUUCUCGUACGAUCACCGAAGUUAAGCAUCGUAGAGCCAGGUCAGUACUUAGAUGGGGGACCGCUUGGGAACACCUGGUACUGUAAG